UAAAUUGAGAGUUUGAUCCUGGCUCAGGAUGAACGCUGGCGGCGUGCCUAAUACAUGCAAGUCGAACGCCUUGUCGUAAUUAUGAAUAGAAGUGCUUGCACGGAUAUGAUUAAUUGCAUUGCAAGGAGUGGCGAACGGGUGAGUAACACGUGGGGAACCUACCUCUUAGCGGGGGAUAACAUUUGGAAACAAAUGCUAAUACCGCAUAACAAUAAAAACCGCAUGGUUUUUACUUGAAAGAUGGUCAUGCUAUCACUAAGAGAUGGUCCCGCGGUGCAUUAGUUAGUUGGUGAGGUAAUGGCUCACCAAGACCGUGAUGCAUAGCCGAGUUGAGAGACUGACCGGCCACAAUGG
rnacentral:rRNA from 1 species